GACGAACCGUGCGAACGUUGUUCGGAAUCACUGGGCUUAAAGGGCGCGUAGGCGGGCCGACAAGUCUGGGGUGAAAUGCCGCGGCUCAACCGUGGAACUGCCUCAGAUACUGUCGGCCUCGAGGGAGGUAGGGGCGUGCGGAACUGUAGGUGGAGCGGUGAAAUGCGUUGAUAUCUACAGGAACUCCGGUGGCGAAAGCGGCGCGCUGGACCUCUUCUGACGCUGAGGCGCGAAAGCUAGGGGAGCAAACGGG
rnacentral:rRNA from 1 species